GGGAAAAGAUGAAGAAAGACAACGAAAAUGGAAGGGGAAUUCAAAGGAAAUUCAGCAGCAAGGAUUUAUUAUUUAGAAAAAAAGAGGAAAACCAAAAAUUGAGAGUGGGGGAGAAAAGAGAAAACAUUAGAAAGGUGGAAAAGAGUCCGAAAUUUGAAAAAAAAAACUAAACAAAAAGAUAAUGCCUAAAAAUCUUGUAACUCAUCUCCUUAAUUCUCUCCCUAACCUCCCCCAACAACUCCACUACUCGAAAUUUCAAUUUGACUAAGACUCCACCAUGCCACACGCCCAAGCAACAAAAAAUAAUUCCCUUGCUCGCACAAGGACUUGAACUCCAGACCUCCCACCCGCCAACAUACACCUUAG
rnacentral:lncRNA from 1 species